UACGAAGGGGGCUAGCGUUGCUCGGAAUCACUGGCGUAAAGGGUGCGUAGGCGGGUCUUUAAGUCAGGGGGGAAAUCCUGGAGCUCAACUCCAGAACUGCCUUUGAUACUGAGAAGCUUGAGUCCGGGAGAGGUGAGUGGAACUGCGAGUGUAGAGGUGAAAUUCGUAGAUAUUCGCAAGAACACCAGUGGCGAAGGCGGCUCACUGGCCCGGUACUGACGCUGAGGUGCGAAAGCGUGGGGAGCAAACAGG
rnacentral:rRNA from 1 species